rnacentral:tRNA from 1 species
GGAGGGAUGGCCGAGUGGACUAUGGCGACGGUCUUGAAAACCGUUGUGGCUGCAAGGUCACCGGGGGUUCGAAUCCCUCUCCCUCCGCCA